rnacentral:lncRNA from 1 species
CGUGGUUACCGUGGGAAUGUUAACUCUCAGAGAACUGGACGCCGGAACAUUCUUGCAACAUUUCCCACGCUGAGCAGAGGAGAAUGGUCAUAAUGUUCGGUGUAUAACGGGCUUUUCUGUCGUGCCUGCGACGAUGUCAGAGGGGGGAAAUAAAACUAUGUUGGGCUUCAGAAUGCCCAUAGGUCUGACAUCAACCAACAAGGAAGUGUUUGUGAUCAGGUUCUUCCUCUGUCCAUUUCCAGGCUCCUCUUCUCCCCUCUCUCUGUCUACUCCUGGCUGGUCUCUGUGAUGGUUAAACUCGUCUUCUCCUCUCUGGCCAUCAUCCUGUCUUCUCUGUAUUACACUGUCCUGCUCCUGCUGGCCGGGCCCUGCUGUAUCGUCACCUUGUCUCUGUCUGUGGUAUUGUACUGUCUCCAUGUAGUUAUCUAUAUGGUUCACCUGGUGUUGGUGCUCUGUGCUCUGGCAGUGCUCGCUAUGACUCCACACAAAAUGGCUGACGUGAAUGGACCUAAAAUGGCCGCCGGUGCCACUGCUAAUGAACAAACGUUCUACGGCCAACUGAAACUGCAGCUCCAGGAUUCGGACAGAUCUGGGAUCAGUGUUGGGUCGUAAAGGCUUCACAGCAAGGCUGAGGGCACAGUGUUAAGUCUGAAAUACAGUUGAUCAGCUUUUUUGUUGUAUUUGUUAAUUAAGGAAUAAAUUCCCUUCCCUGCUUCAUGAUUGUGUAGGCAUAUCCCUUCCUUUUAUCCUUUAGUCUGUUUGGGCAACUUGAGUCUCCCUCAUUUAGUAAAGUGAAUGUGUUUUAAA